rnacentral:rRNA from 1 species
UACGUAGGGUGCAAGCGUUGUCCGGAAUUAUUGGGCGUAAAGAGCUCGUAGGCGGUCUGUCGCGUCUGCUGUGAAAACUCAGGGCUUAACCCUGAGCUUGCAGUGGGUACGGGCAGACUAGAGUGCGGUAGGGGAGACUGGAAUUCCUGGUGUAGCGGUGAAAUGCGCAGAUAUCAGGAGGAACACCGGUGGCGAAGGCGGGUCUCUGGGCCGUAACUGACGCUGGAGGAGCGAAAGCGUGGGAGCGAACAGG